rnacentral:rRNA from 1 species
AUUGAACGCUGGUUGCAGGCCUAACACAUGCAAGUCGAGCGGUAGCACAGAGAGCUUGCUCUCGGGUGACGAGCGGCGGACGGGUGAGUAAUGUCUGGGAAACUGCCUGAUGGAGGGGGAUAACUACUGGAAACGGUAGCUAAUACCGCAUAACGUCGCAAGACCAAAGUGGGGGACCUUCGGGCCUCAUGCCAUCAGAUGUGCCCAGAUGGGAUUAGCUAGUAGGUGGGGUAACGGCUCACCUAGGCGACGAUCCCUAGCUGGUCUGAGAGGAUGACCAGCCACACUGGAACUGAGACACGGUCCAGACUCCUACGGGAGGCAGCAGUGGGGAAUAUUGCACAAUGGGCGCAAGCCUGAUGCAGCCAUGCCGCGUGCGUGAAGAAGGCCUUCGGGUUGUAAAGCACUUUCAGCGGGGAGGAAGGCGGUGAGGUUAAUAACCUCAUCGAUUGACGUUACCCGCAGAAGAAGCACCGGCUAACUCCGUGCCAGCAGCCGCGGUAAUACGGAGGGUGCAAGCGUUAAUCGGAAUUACUGGGCGUAAAGCGCACGCAGGCGGUCUGUCAAGUCGGAUGUGAAAUCCCCGGGCUCAACCUGGGAACUGCAUUCGAAACUGGCAGGCUAGAGUCUUGUAGAGGGGGGUAGAAUUCCAGGUGUAGCGGUGAAAUGCGUAGAGAUCUGGAGGAAUACCGGUGGCGAAGGCGGCCCCCUGGACAAAGACUGACGCUCAGGUACGAAAGCGUGGGGAGCAAACAGGAUUAGAUACCCUGGUAGUCCACGCCGUAAACGAUGUCGAUUUGGAGGUUGUGCCCUUGAGGCGUGGCUUCCGGAGCUAACGCGUUAAAUCGACCGCCUGGGGAGUACGGCCGCAAGGUUAAAACUCAAAUGAAUUGACGGGGGCCCGCACAAGCGGUGGAGCAUGUGGUUUAAUUCGAUGCAACGCGAAGAACCUUACCUGGUCUUGACAUCCACAGAACUUUCCAGAGAUGGAUUGGUGCCUUCGGGAACUGUGAGACAGGUGCUGCAUGGCCGUCGUCAGCUCGUGUUGUGAAAUGUUGGGUUAAGUCCCGCAACGAGCGCAACCCUUAUCCUUUGUUGCCAGCGGUCCGGCCGGGAACUCAAAGGAGACUGCCAGUGAUAAACUGGAGGAAGGUGGGGAUAACGUCAAGUCAUCAUGGCCCUUACGACCAGGGCUACACACGUGCUACAAUGGCAUAUACAAAGAGAAGCGACCUCGCGAGAGCAAGCGGACCUCAUAAAGUAUGUCGUAGUCCGGAUUGGAGUCUGCAACUCGACUCCAUGAAGUCGGAAUCGCUAGUAAUCGUAGAUCAGAAUGCUACGGUGAAUACGUUCCCGGGCCU